rnacentral:ncRNA from 1 species
UAGCAGCCAUAGCUCCGAGCUUUGCUCACUAAGUUGCAGCCCAGAACAUCGGGAUGACAAUAGGUGUGUUAAGCCAGUGACUAUUGUCACCAGGGUCGGUAAAGAAAUGCAUCGGCCUCCCGUGUUUGGAAAGGUGUCCCGUGGCGAACCAA